CCUGCCCGCGCGCCCUGUCCCCGUGAGCCGGCCACCACGCCCUGUCCCCGCGGGCCGGGCCUGCCAGGGUCGGCAGCGCGGCUCCUGGCAAAGCCCGCCAGUUCCCUCAGCACCGUGGCCGCCAAGGGCCUGUGUUUUCUCCGAGACGCGGGCUUGAGAACGGCCCCGCGGUCUGGCACACACUGCGUUCUCAGAGCGAAGAGGACAGGGAGGCGCCGCUGCUCUCCGCCCGGCCCGCAGCCCGCCGCUGGGCAUCAGGCCACGCGAACGCACACCCCGAAAGGGCCUGAGGACCAUCUAAUCCAAGCCUUUCCUUCCCCAGGGAGGAAACCAAGGCAGAAAGAACACUGCCCACCGCCCUGCCGCAGCGCGCCUUCCCUCCGCUCGCUCACUUCCUAUGGGUUUUGCCUUCCGCUGAGCUUUCAAAGACCCCGUGGGCUGGGUUUGUCUUAUUUUAGAAAAUCAGUAACCGCUGCCCUUCGUGACUGAGCGGCCUCAGAUCUGGACCGGCCUAGACGGCCCUGUCGUGGCCAACUUCGGCGAAGGAGCUGGGCCCCGAACUAGGUCCGGCUCGAGUCGCGGAGCCGGUCCCAUCCCGGUCAAGGCGCAGGUUUGCACACAAGCCGCGCUUAGGAGUGGAGGUAGAACGUGAUGGAGGAAAGAUGCUGAGUCCAAAGAGGGAAGGGGCAACGGCCACCAGCUUAUGAGCAGGAGCAAGACGAGCAGUGCCUCGGUUCCAGCUGGGUGGCUGAGACCAGGAAGCCUCACCGUGGGGCUGCCCAGGUGGCCACUGACUUUCUUCCCUCCGUACGUAACUGAGGGACCCUCCCCUCACCACCAACGUCUCUGUCCCUCACAGCCUGAAAUAGCAGCACGAUUACAAUUCACAUUUCUGAUAACCGAAAUGUUAGCUCUUGUGACACUGGGGUUUUAUUUUAUUUUAAUGACAAUAUUUCUAAAGAAUGCACUUGACUCUCUUAUAACCUGCUGUGCCCACAGCCUGGCUCAUGGGCGAUGCUCUCUGGGCGACUUGGUUCAUCUCUUGUUUCCUCGGCCCCAGCUGUGCACUGCCCUUACCUACCCACCCCAACCCCGUUAAACAUGUUCUCUUAACUCUUCUCCCUGACUUCUUUUCUUGUUCUUCCAUCUACCUUCAGCUGUGAUCUCCUUUUCUACAGAGAAAGCUGAACUUUACCAUUAUCGACACUUUUGACCAAGAGAAACGGGUUCUUUCUCGUGGUACAUUUUGAUCCACACGAAGAGAACCCAGCCAGGCCCCAUGUUUUGUGCGCUCUGCCGUGACCGUCCCAAAGUCUGCAGGGACAAGGGAACAUGGCAACUCAGAGCCCUCACCCCACCCCCUAUCUCAAACGCGAUCCCCACAAUCCCUCACUCCCAUGACCCGGCCGCCAGCUUCUAGCGCCCCGCCAGCUUCUUCCCUGGGCUCUUCCUGCAGGGGAGACCACAGUGCCGGCCUGUGCAUCCCACGGCCCAGGGCGCGGGGGCCAGGGGCGGCGUCUGAGAGAAGAACGGGCAGAGCAGGGACACUGGACUGGGUGCACACACAGGCGUAGGCCUCCUGGGCAGCUAGGGCCAGCUCCUCCUGCGUGGCCAUGUUCUGGGAUGGGAACUUGAGGGCUGAGAACGCCGAGUCCUCCCAGGCCAUUAGGCAUAUUUAUCCACUUAGGAGGAUAGAACAUAUUUUAUUCAACAGUUCUUAGAUUGAUUUAUGACUUUAAAAUGAGAAAAUGCACUACAAGGCUUGUAACUUGUAACUCUUGCCCCAGACCUUGUGAAUAGGAGGGUAGGCCUGGACUCGUGUAUUAGUUGCAGUUUUAUUCACCUAGAUUUGUCCUCUCUUUUCCCAUAAAGACUCACAAAUUCUCCUGAAAUAAAUUAAAGGAGAUUAGAGUAGCUUGUUUGGCCUGGACUCGAGAUUAAAACGCAUAAGCAAACUUCCACCAGGAACUCUAUUUGCAGAUUUCCUCUGCCUCUCCAAUUCAUCAAACCUAAGUUCUCAAAGUCCAGAUAUUCCAAAAGCAACUUUUAAAGGACUUCUUUAUACUUAGGUUGCUGAGCUUAUCUGAAGUAUGACUAACUCCACAAGUGCAUACUCAGGGAAUUCUUUCCCAUCCUGCUGAUGACUCAGAAGGACCCGAUUUGCUCUAAUGAAUUUUCUUGAUCUCACAAAAGUAGUGCAUGUAUUCUGUACUGCAGACUCUGGGUUGAGUGCCCUUGCACUGGUAGUGAGUUUAUCCACUAUAACGCUUACUCUCCAAGUGGAAGCGAAGCCUGCUAGUUUCUCAUGACAUGCAUUAUUAGGUACUCACAGGAAACAGCAGUUUGCCAAUUGGAAAAAGUUAUUGCCUAGUGUCACUCUGGGAAAAGUGUUCCUGUGACCUAAACUUACACUUAAGAGUAGAAUGGCUAAGAAAAACUUUUAUUGAUAUAGAAGUGUGUGAAUACUGAGUUUUUAUGCCACCAAGCUCUUUUGAAUUUGCAAUAACAUCAUUAAUAGACAGACCUUUGCAAUCCAUCUGCCAUAUUUUUAAAUUAUAGACACACAUGUAUUUGGUGUGAUUAUUUUAAGUAGUAUAUAGGAGGCUCUAAAGAAAGUAUUUCCUCUGACUGAAGAAGGCUUCCUUCUUCCUCAUUUCUGAAAUGUAUCUCAUGUCCAAAUAUUGAAGGUUCAUUCUGAAAAUAAUGAACAUGCCUUUAUCUUAACUGACUUUAGAAAAGUGAAAGAAAUCCUUUCAGUUUGGGGGAGCCAGUACAAAGUCAAGCAUGCUUGAAAUUCAAUUCUGGCCAGCCCACCAACUAACUAUAAAACCUCAGGAAAAGUACUUAAAUUUCUGUAAGUCUGUGGCCUCAUCUGUCAAAUGGAGGUAGUGAUACCUACUUUAUUAUUUUUUUCUAAGAAUUAGAUAAUAGCAGACAUGUAGAGUUUGGCACGGUGCCUAGCUAACAGUAAGCACUCAAUAAUAUAUCUGUAAUAUUGUUGUCAUUGGUUUCUGAAAUUUGCUAUUAUUGAAGUAUAUCAACUCUGCAA